UCUCAUAGUGAAGGUCAUGGCAUGAUGUGAAUUCCUCACAAGGAGCUGUAAAAUAUGACCUUUGGAGGUGGGGGUUGGGAAAGGCUGUGUGAGCACCAGUGACCCAGAGAGUAGGAAGCAGGCCAAGGCAAGUAACUUGAUGGGGAAGCAGGAAUGAGGUGCUCCUCCCACCUGACCAGCACCAUUCAACUCUGAUAGUCUAUGGACUUUUCCACCAACUGGCUCCGUGCAUCUU
rnacentral:lncRNA from 1 species